AUUUUAUCGACCUCAGAGCAGGUGAGAC
rnacentral:rRNA from 1 species